rnacentral:misc_RNA from 1 species
GCUCUUUACGGUUUCUUAUAAGGGAAAUCAAAGUCGAUUUUUAGCGUGAAAGUAAAGAAAUUUAAAAGAAAUUCUGACUAUGCAUGUAUAAAUGUCACACUAGGGUAUAGUAGGAAUUGAUAAAUUUCUGGUUUCACAAUAUCAUCUAAAUAGAUUUGUAUUUGUGAAAUGCCAUUACAUGGUUGCCCGUUAAAAAGUGGAACUUUU